GCAGCCACGACAGCAUCGCCAGAACCUGUUCGAUCGCAUGUAUAUGGGGUUAUAAGCACAUCCUCAGUCCCUACCACCGCCCCAUCGAACUUGGAGGUAUAGUAAUGGAUCCGAAGCGUCCCGUCCGUCACAAACAAGAUCUUUAUUCCAUCAUGCCAGAGAGGAGCAAUCUCUUCCCGGGUAUAAUGAUAAUAGUCUCGCCUGUUCUUUGUCUGCUCAUAGGAUUCGGAGUAGUAUUGAGGCCUGUAGCUGCGCUUCUUCUCAUAGUACUCUUCGUCCAACAGGAAUUCCAACUCCUGUCUCGAGACUUCGAUGAAGUCGGCUUUGCUCCAUGCCUUCUUGAUCACUUCCCGGGUCUCCUCUCUCGACUUCCAUAGUGGCAA
rnacentral:lncRNA from 1 species